UGGGGAAUAUUGCACAAUGGAGGGAACUCUGAUGCAGCGACGCCGCGUGAACGAAGAAGGCUUUCGAGUCGUAAAGUUCUUUUAUAUGGGAAGAUAAUGACGGUACCAUAAGAAGAAGCCCCGGCUAACCACGUGCCAGCAGCCGCGGUAAUACGUAGGGGGCUAGCGUUGUCCGGAAUCACUGGGCGUAAAGGGUUCGCAGGCGGAAAUGCAAGUCAGGUGUAAAAGGCAGUAGCUUAACUACUGUAAGCAUUUGAAACUGCAUAUCUUGAGAAGAGUAGAGGUAAGUGGAAUUUUUAGUGUAGCGGUGAAAUGCGUAGAUAUUAAAAAGAAUACCGGUGGCGAAGGCGACUUACUGGGCUCAUUCUGACGCUGAGGAACGAAAGCGUGGGUAGCAAACAGG
rnacentral:rRNA from 1 species